UACGUAGGGGGCAAGCGUUGUCCGGAAUCAUUGGGCGUAAAGAGCGUGUAGGCGGCUCGAUAAGUCCGCUGUGAAAGUCCAGGGCUCAACCCUGGAAGGCCGGUGGAAACUGUCGGGCUAGAGUCCGGAAGAGGCGAGUGGAAUUCCCGGUGUAGCGGUGAAAUGCGUAGAUAUCAGGAGGAACACCUGCGGUGUAGACGGCUUUCUGGACCAUUGCUGACGCUGAGACACGAAAGCGUGGGUAGCAAACAGG
rnacentral:rRNA from 1 species